GAUGAACGCUGGCGGCGUGCUUAACACAUGCAAGUCGAACGGAAUGGCCUUGUUUUUUUUGGUUACUGGCGGGGGGAACGGGAGCGCAUCACGUCUGUAACCUGCCCCUGACACUAGGCUAACUUCAGGAAACUGGUGUUAAUACCGGAUAUGACUUCCUAGUGCAUGGGGGGGAUUGGAACGUUUCGCCGGUUGGGGAUGGACUCGGCGGUCAUCAGCUUGGUGGGGGGGUAGUGGCUUACCAAGGCUUUGGCGGGGAGCCGGCCUGGGGGGGUGACCGGCCACAUUGGGACUGGGGUACGGCCCAGACUCCUACGGGAGGCAGCCGGGGAGAAUAUUGCGAAAUGGGCGGAAGCCUUAUGCAGCAACGCCGCGUGCGGGAUGACGGCCUUCGGGUGGUAAACCGCUUUCGCCUGUGACGAAGCGUGAGUGACGGUAAUGGGUAAAGAAGGACCGGCUAACUACGUG
rnacentral:rRNA from 1 species